rnacentral:rRNA from 1 species
AUUGAACGCUGGCGGAAUGCUUUACACAUGCAAGUCGAACGGCAGCACGGGGGCAACCCUGGUGGCGAGUGGCGAACGGGUGAGUAAUACAUCGGAACGUGCCCAGUCGUGGGGGAUAACGUAGCGAAAGUUACGCUAAUACCGCAUACGAUCUACGGAUGAAAGCGGGGGACCGUAAGGCCUCGCGCGAUUGGAGCGGCCGAUGUCAGAUUAGGUAGUUGGUGAGGUAAAGGCUCACCAAGCCGACGAUCUGUAGCUGGUCUGAGAGGACGACCAGCCACACUGGGAUGGAGACACGGCCCGGACUCCUACGGGAGGCAGCAGUGGGGAAUUUUGGACAAUGGGCGCAAGCCUGAUCCAGCCAUUCCGCGUGCAGGACGAAGGCCCUCGGGUUGUAAACUGCUUUUGUACGGAACGAAAAGGCUCUGGUUAAUACCUGGGGCUCAUGACGGUACCGUAAGAAUAAGCACCGGCUAACUACGUGCCAGCCGCCGCAGUAA